AAAAAGGGCUUCUGCCAUGAUCGGCACACGUAGGGCAGCUCCCUUGUUCUACAUAUGGAAUCAACAUCAAGAGAUUUUGGAAGCAUAGUUUUUCAGCAGUAGGCAGCUGGUGAUGUUGGUCCUGGUUCCCUU